rnacentral:rRNA from 1 species
UUCGCAAUGCCCGAAAGGGUGACGAAGCGACGCCGCGUGUGGGAAGAAGGCCUUCGGGUUGUAAACCACUGUCGGGAGUUAAGAAAUGCAAGGAUAUUAAUAGUGUCUUUGUUUGACUAAGGCUCCGGAGGAAGCCACGGCUAACUCUGUGCCAGCAGCCGCGGUAAUACAGAGGCGGCAAGCGUUGUUCGGAAUUAUUGGGCGUAAAGAGCACGUAGGCGGCUAUGUAAGUCGGUUGUGAAAGCCUUCCGCUCAACGGAAGAACAGCAUCCGAUACUACAUGGCUUGAGUGCGGGAGGGGAGAGUGGAACUUCUGGUGGAGCGGUGAAAUGUGUAGAUAUCAGAAGGAACGCCGGCGGCGAAAGCGGCUCUCUGGCCCAUAACUGACGCUGAGUGUGCGAAAGCUAGGGGAGCAAACGGGAUUAGAUACCCCGGUAGUCCUAGCCGUAAACGAUGGGCACUAAGUAGAGGGGUUUU